CUUCCAGGCUGGGCUCCGGAAGGUGCGCGCAGACGUAGUGGUUUCAAAUACCGGGCUUCCCUGAUGGACGGGGAAUAUUAUCGCAAACCUUAGGCAAAGCUGACUGAGGAGGAGGUAUGAGUCCAGCGCAGGAAGACUCAGCUCAUCAAAGUGGCCCAACAGCGAAAAUAAACUCUGUGCUGGGAGACCCAGUGACCAGUAAACUGACGAACACGAGGAAACAAGUACUGGCCAGAACCCUAACGAUGGAGCUGUGCAAAGAGAGCAGAUUGAGCUGUGCCGCGCUGCUUCUGCAGAGGGACAGCUGACCAUUGAACAUAACUCCUAGGCCGCCUUCCACCAGAUCCUGGAAAUCCCCAAGCCUGUGGGGGCGGUCCCCAUCCUCAAGGGUGGCCUUUUCUACCUGGUCCCUGCGCGGGCAGCUGACCCAAGUGCGGCCCGUCUUCCUGUUCUGGCGUGCUGGGAGAAGCAGCUUCAGCGGAGGAAGGGGGCCUGAGAAGCUGUCGCGCCAGCUGCUGGCGGCUCUCCACAACCAAGGCAGAGAUACAACUUAUGGAGGAGAAAAGUUGUUUUAAGUCACUGAAACACCCAAAGAAAAUAUAUCUGACAAUGUUACUGAGAAUCUUCAAGUUUGAAGGAAGAAGCUCUUAGCAGUGGAUGGAGAUAGGGCACAUCCCAAAUAGUGGCUAUUCCCUGAGUUCUCCUUGAAGUUCCCAGGAUAUGACCAGCAGAGCAGACUUCAAGACAAAUAGUAGCCUGGAGCCAAGCCCAGCUGAGCCCAGCAGAGCCACACCCAAUUCACAGACCUACCAUUAAGUAACCUGACCUGAUGUCUUCUCAGGAAGUAAAAUCCAAUGAGAAACUUCACAGGCUUCCCACUUCAACCAAUGCAGUAAAACCCCCUGACAAUCCUUCCUUGAGACAAACGUACAGGAAACACUCACUUGCCUUGCUAUUUACCCUGAAAUAGAUCUGAGUUAGAGUUCGGAGAAGUUGCCUCCUCUACCAGAAUAGUCUGAAGUUCUGGAUUGUAUUUCUCCAACAAGCAAACCUGAUGAGAAAUCUCCUUACUUUGAGAGAAUUUAGCAGGGAGCUCUAUCUGUUUCUACUGGGUUGAUGAAACAAAACUUCCAGCUACUUAGUAUUAAAGGCACCGAUUGCAUGUUAAAUUUCUUAUUGGACCUGUCUGAUCCUCUCUCCAGAAUGUAAGCUUAUUGCCACUUAUGCAGACUGGUCAAUGAGGCCCAGAAGCUAAUGACUGUUUCUCUGGCAAUAGCCAAUAAUUAACUAGAAUUUUUAUAAAAGCAAGGAUGAAAAGAUGUCUGGGGGGUGUGGCGCCUGGGUGGCUCAGUUGUUUAAGCUUUGGACUCUUGAUUUCACUUCAGGUCAUGAUCUUGCGGUUUGUGAGAUCGAGCCCUGCAUUGGGCUCUGCACAAGAGCCUGGAGCCUGCUUGGGAUUGUCUCACUCACCCUCUCUCUCUGUCUCUUCCCCACUCACUUGUACCCACACACACACUUUCUCUCUCUCUAAAAAUAAAUAAAUUAAAAAAAAAAGAUGUUUGUGAGAAUGAACACCGACCUACCCAGCCCACCAUCAUGUGUGGACAACAGAACGGAGGCAGUUCAGAGAAUUCAGAGUUCCUCUCUGGGACUUGUCAGGCAGGAAAGAAAAGAAACAGUGUUCCUCACACCUCAAAGCUCACAUAAAUCACCUGGGGAUUGUAUUAAAAAUGAAGAUUCUGGGGACUCCUGGGUGACUCAGUCAGUUAAGCGUUGGACUUCGGCUCAGGUCAUGAUCUCACCGCUUGUGAGUUCAAGCCCCGCAUCAGGCUCUGUGCUGACAGCUCAGAGCCUGAAGCCUGCUUCGGAUUCUGUGUCUCCCUCUCUCUCUGCCCCUCCUCCAUUCGCACUCUAUCUCCCUAUGUCUCUCAAAAAUAAGUAAACAUUAAAAAAAUAUUAAAAGAAAUGCAGAUUCUGAUUCAGAAGUUCUGGAUGGGUCCAGGAUUAAGCAUUUCUAACAAGCUUGAAGCUAAUGCAGUUGCUACUGGCUUACGGACCGCAUUUUGAAAAGCAAGGCAUGA